UGCAUAUCAAAAAGCGGAGGAAAAGAAACCAACAGGGAUUGCCUUAGUAGCGGCGAGUGAACAGGCAAGAGCUCAGAUUUGAAAGCCCUCGGGCAUUGUAUUCUGAAGCCUUGGUCCUGAGAAUCGGUGUUUAAGUCUUCUGGAAAGGAGCGCCAUGGAGGGUGAUAGCCCCGUACGACACCACUCUCAUUGUAGGACUUUGGCAUGGAGUCGAGUUGUUUGGGAAUGCAGCUCAAAUGGGUGGUAUGCUCCAUCUAAAGCUAAAUAUCUGCGAGAGACCGAUAGCGAACAAGUACUGUGAAGGAAAGAUGAAAAGAACUUUGAAAAGAGAGUGAAAAAGUACGUGAAAUUGUUGAAAUGGAAGGAUAGGCCGCUAACCAUGUAGGGUCGUGUUCGAGGGGAAGAUAAAAGCUGAAGAAUGUAGCUCCUCGGAGUGUUAUAGCUUCAGUCCAUAUUCCCUCUCGAGCGCGAGGAUUGAAGACUCUGCUAAAUGGUGGUCUAUCACCCGUCUUGAACCACGGACCA
rnacentral:rRNA from 1 species